GGACGUGUAGUUUAGCGGCAAAACACGGUGCCUAUGACACCUAGCCCUGGGUUCAAAUCCCAGCAUGUCUA